ACUCGUCUCAUUGUGGUCAGUGUUACUGAAGAUCCUACCUAGUGGUGUUCAUUGACUACAUUAUAACCACUGUUAGUUAUACACCACACACUGUUCGCAUUGGAGUUCCCUGACAUCCCCUGAUGCACCCAUGAGAUAUCCCUUCUUUAUUUCGAAAAUUUGAGGUCUUCUUCCUUGCGCUCACCGAGUAAUGGCUUUGGUUCUGCGUGACAUGCAGGGCCACCUCGCCCACCACGUCCAUCAGGGAAUGGGGAGGGAAUGCGAGGACUACCGCGCGCACAUCAACAGAGGGCACGGCAGGGAAGAAGGACUUGUUGGUGCAGGUGCAGCGGGGCGACGGGAAGUGGCUAUCCAUCAGGGAGCCACCGCUGAGAAGGAUGCAGCCAGCCUAUGAUGUAUUGACGCGGCUGAAGUGCAGCACCAAGUCUUUUGCCGGUGCUGUUGUCAUCUCUCUGUCUGUAUUUUGUACAGUAUUAUGCAAAAAAGGAAGAACAGAAAGGAUAGAGUGGUAUACAUGUUUGGAAUUUGUUUCAAGCUUUUUUGGAUGGUUGUAGAUCAGAUGUGCUAGCUAGGCACGUCAUUUAGCUUGGUUUGAAACUCUAGACAGAUUAAUUCGUGCUAAUAAGAUUGAGGUUUGGUUCAUGAGCGUAUGAUAAAAGGUUUUUAAUGGGAAAUUAUAAUCAAAUUUAUGACCAAAGGAGUUGGUGACUUUGUGCUUUCUCUGUGUACGGAUUACCCUACAUGAGCCCUCUGUUUCUCUGUCCCUGUAAUAACUGUCAGUUUGCGAAACUAUACAAAACCUAAGGUAGGUAUAGUUAACCAAGUGGCAUUGCAAAACUUCCAGAUACUCCUGUUGUGCAGAUUUUGUUUGGCUAGUGUGGCGCAAUUGAUACUCCUGUUGUGCAGAUUUUGUUUGGCUAGUGUGGCGCAAUUGCCAGUUCAAACCUUCUCAUCAUGCUCAAAUAUUGUAAGCAUGAUUCCUACUUUUUCCUGGGACACACAUGACUCUGAAUAAACAGUGAAGUAAAACAAACACUCCACACUAUAUACAUACAUCCUCCAUCCCAAAGCUUCAAUCUGUAUGUUUUUCUCCAGUUUGUUUCUUUUUUUCCUCAUCUUCCAUUCUCUGAUUAUACAUUUUCCAACACUGGACCACAAGAGUCUAGGCAGG
rnacentral:lncRNA from 1 species